AAAAAACUUAAUUGUUUACCUUGAACGGUGUUGUUUUCCUUGAAAUGUUUGCUUCUUUCUCAUGCCCGACACCCAUUCCCCCAACCCAAAAUAGAUUUACCCAUUCUCUAAUAUCUUCUAAUCCCUAAAUUUUCCCCAAAAGAAUCAGCAGACACUGUUAAGAUUCAUUGUCGAGCUAACAUACAUCUGACUUGAAUCCCUAAAUCUCCUUUUUUGCAAACUCCAUUAAAGUUUCUUAUCCUUUUUAUAACUUUUGAAAACUGCAGAUAUAUAAGUUGAAAAGCUUUGGAAGCCAUUUGAGCAACUCCUGCCAUGAACAAGCAUGUAAUGGAAUCUUCAUGUUCAUAGGGUAAGCUUUUCUUAUUUUGCUUUUAAAAACAGUUGUGGGUCAUUUUCGUAUUACUCUAGACCGCCAUACUUGAAGUUCCCUAGUUCUUGAACUUGUGUCCUCAGUUCUCACGAUAGAGCCCUCUGCUUCUAGAUUUUUACUUAGUUCUUUGAUUUAUUGAUUUGUUCAUAUGCGGUGAAUGGUGCUUGUAGUUGAUUUGCGUCCUUGUUUUAUUCCAUUGGUCCCGUAGUCUUGCUCAUUGUUGGCUUAAAUUGGUUAUGAAUAAUUUCAGCGCCUACUAUGUUUCCCACUGCAAUGCUUUCAUUGCAACCCCUUCAUUUUAAAAUAUUGCUGCAGGCUUUCUUUUGCUUUCGUUUUCAGUUGUAUAAUUGCUUUCAUUUGUCCCUGGUUGACGUCUGGUAUUGUAUCUAUUACACAAGACCUUUUCCUAUAAAUACUUUCAGGAAUUAUAAAGAAUGGGUCAACUCUCCAAUAAUACCAAGUCUACAUUUAAUCAACCUAAUUUCAACUCUCAGCCUAAAUACUCUUAUCACCUCCACUCUCUAAAACUUCUAGCUCCCAGUCUUCAUUGAGUGAAUCGACCUCUAUAACGAUGACCACUCUCUUUUUUAUACCACCUCCCUAUUGUAUCACUAUAUCAAUAAAUAUAUAUUUCACCCACAUACUAAAUGUAGACGUAUCUAGUUUUCAACCAUGGCUUUAAAUUCAACUAGUUUAAAAUGGUAUUAUGAGUCAUUCAAUUUGUUAGAAUAAGGAAAUUAAUAAAGUUGAAAAAUGUUCGGUAAAAAAGUUGAAAAUGUGAAACUUGAAAGCAAUACUAGUUUUGGUAGUGAUCCACCACCGAAGACUUGAAGGAAAAAAUUAAUGAUGUUGUGGAAUACCACAAAGUAUAUCAAUUGCGACAUCAAAAAGUGACAUCAAUUUAUUUUAUAGAUGUAAUCAAUAAUAAAGUCUUUAAAAAGUAGUUCUUUUACUUGAAAAACAAAUAAAACUCAAAAAAUAAUAAGAUUAUUACUUAAUAUCAUAAAGUAAAUAUACGAUAGAUUUACAUUAAAUUUCAUUACACAUAAUUCAUCGCUCUAAAUAUGACUUGGAUCAAAGUCACGCUAAUCACAUUACCGUUAAAGUUUUACCUUUUUAUUAUAAUUUAUCAAAAAAACAAAAAUAGAUUCAUUUCUCGGGAGGAUAAGUAUAAAUUAUUACUUGUAGUGUACAGUAUCCCAUUUUAAUAUGCAUUAAUUCUAUCGUAUUACACAAAGUUUCCUUCUUCAUUCAAAAAAAAUGGAAUUUUAUAUUUUUUUAUCAACUUUAUCAAUAUAUACAAUUGCUUUCAUUUGUCCCUGGUUGACUCUGGUAUUGUAUCUAUUAUAUAAAUCCUUCCUCUCUUUUCCCUUGUUCUUUGCAGGAGAAACUAUUUCAAUGGAUUUUGAGGCAGCAAGAGGAAUGAUCAUGGGUUACAACAACUGAUAUAGCUUCAUAUUUGCAGGUAUCUUCUGUAAUUUCUUGCUCUUAUUGUUUUGAUGAAUCUGCUUGGCUAAUGUUGAUUCUUUUACUUAAUGCUUCAACCAACAGUAUGUUUCUGCACCACUCCGGUGAAUUCAACCGUAGUGUCCAAACAGUUAAGCACUUAAACAGAUCAGUGUAUUUUGGUGUGUAGAAUAAUCAGAGUAAAAUUAUAGGUGAGAGGAUGAAGACGGUAGCAUAGGAUAGAAGAGAAGAGAAGAGACUAUUGGUUUUCUAGAAAUCCUAAUUAAUAGAUGCUUGAUACUAGUUGAGAAGUAUGUUUGGUGUUUUGGAUAGAAACGAAAGUAACAUAGUGUGUGGGAGAAUGAGGUGAUGGAAAGACUUAUCAUUUUCUAAACCCCCUAGACACAUGAUUGUGCACUAGUUGUUAUAAUCACACCUUCCUUAGAAGCAAUUGCUGUUGAGGUUGCUCCAUGUUCUCUACUGUCAAAUUUGCCCAAGCUCUGUCAGACAAUCAUAUAUUUUUUAAAAUUAAUAAGUUUGCUCAUUUUUGUUUUACGGUUUAUAGGAUUACUUUUUUCGUGAUUCAUUUUUAUUUUUCUUCAACUUGAAUUAAUUUAUUAAUUAAUUCAUUUUUUUAUUUGAAGCAAAAGUGAAGAGAUAUAUUUUCACAAACCAAUAUAUGGGAAUGAAAACCCCCUGGAUUCCUGCCCCGCAUAGGAAAAUAUGCUACAUAUGUUUUUUUACAGUUUUCUUUCAUGUCUUUGUUUCAUUUUUUGCGAUUUUCAUUUUAAUCAUGCAAUAAUUUUAAAAUAUAAAUAGUGUUAGAAGAUAAAUAAAUUAAAAAAUACAUGUCUCUUUUCAUUUAUAUAUUUUAUAUUUUUAAGCUGCCAUA
rnacentral:lncRNA from 1 species